UGCCAGCCGCCGCGGUAAUACGGAGGGGGCAAGCGUUGUUCGGAUUUACUGGGCGUAAAGGGCGCGUAGGCGGCUUCGUUAGUCAGGCGUGAAAGCCCCGGGCUCAACCUGGGAAUUGCGUUUGAUACUGCGAGGCUUGAGUCCGGGAGAGGUGAGCGGAAUUCCCAGUGUAGAGGUGAAAUUCGUAGAUAUUGGGAAGAACACCGGUGGCGAAGGCGGCUCUCUGGUCCAUACCUGACGCUGAGGCGCGAGAGCGUGGGGAGCAAACAGGAUUAGAUA
rnacentral:rRNA from 1 species